CCGGCCUCCAGGAGAAAUCGAGCUCCUGGGCCACUGCCGGCACUGCGCCACCUGGGCAUUUGGCGCUGGAGGGAGGCGCCGCCGCUGCUGGGACCCGAUUCCCCGACGCCGCACCGGAGCUGCGCCUUCCCCGACGCCUUGACCAGGCUACCAGAGAAGCAUCUCGGAGUGGUGAUGGCAAUGGAUGGGGGAAGGGAAGAUGAUGCGCCUGCGUGUCCCACGCGAGGUCCUGAUGAUGCUGUUGAGCAAGAUGCGGUGCAACGCCGCUCUAGAGGUAAAGGCAUCGCUGGUGCAUCCUCCAGUGGUGCCGUCGGCGCAUCAUACAGUGGUGCCAUUCCUAGGGGAACAACGGACAGUAACGGUGGAGUGGAGGUGACUGCAAAAGAUAGUAAAUCGGCAAACUAGUUGCUUAUUAGACUGUCAUUGUGAAAUGUUGGUUAUUUAUCUUGUUUUGAAGUGCUGAUUUGAGUAGCUCCCUUAGUAGUAUUGUGAGAUUUAGAUUUUAGAGUUUAGAUUGGCAAGUGUGCAGCAUAAAUUUAAUUGGCAAGUGUUGAUCUGUACUA